rnacentral:rRNA from 1 species
UACACUCCUGCGGGAGGCAGCAGUGGGGAAUUUUGGCCAAUGGGCGAAAGCCUGAUCCAGCAAUGCCGCGUGAGUGAAGAAGGCCUUCGGGUUGUAAAGCUCUUUUGUCAGGGAAGAAACGGUGAGAGCUAAUAUCUUUUGCUAAUGACGGUACCUGAAGAAUAAGCACCGGCUAACUACGUGCCAGCAGCCGCGGUAAUACGUAGGGUGCAAGCGUUAAUCGGAAUUACUGGGCGUAAAGCGUGCGCAGGCGGUUUUGUAAGUCUGAUGUGAAAUCCCCGGGCUCAACCUGGGAAUUGCAUUGGAGACUGCAAGGCUAGAAUCUGGCAGAGGGGGGUAGAAUUCCACGUGUAGCAGUGAAAUGCGUAGAUAUGUGGAGGAACACCGAUGGCGAAGGCAGCCCCCUGGGUCAAGAUUGACGCUCAUGCACGAAAGCGUGGGGAGCAAACAGGAUUAGAUACCCCUGUAGUCCC